GAGACUGGGAGUGACUGCUUCUCCUAACCCAACAAAAGGCUUGUGCCUGCUAAACAAAGCUAGACAUAUGUGAUGAUUGCAGAAAUGCCAAUAAAUAGGAAAAGAUACCAUUGCUUCUGCUCGGAUGUCAGUGUGUCUGGCGGACAUUUCAUCUUGGAUGACAGCUCAUCAGCUGAAACUUAAUCCCAGCAAAACUGAACUGCUGGUCAUCCCAGGUGAUUCAUCCCCAGCCCAGGAUCUUGCAUUAUCUCUGAACAACUUGAUGAUCUCCCCUUCAGCCACUGCUAGCAACCUUGGGCCUGUGACCAGGGGACUGCUGGGGACAGAACCACUUGGAGACUAUCACACCAUCACAGAACUUGCAUUGCAUCUGUCAGCUUGUGACAGCAAGGAAUUAGUGUCUAUAAUAAACUCAGAAACUACACUGACCUAAUAGUUGCACAUGAGCCCUUGGUGUCUGUUGUAGAAAGGAAAUUAUUUAGAUUUACAUUAUUUACUCUCCAGUAUCACCCAAAUGAGGACGGGUUCCCUUCUGAGCCUGGUUCCUCUCAAGGU